GACGGAGGGUGCUAGCGUUGUUCGGAAUUACUGGGCGUAAAGGGCGCGUAGGCGGCUGCUCAAGUCGGGUGUGAAAGCCCGGGGCUCAACCCCGGAACGGCACCCGAGACUGGGCGGCUCGAGACCGGGAGAGGUGGGUGGAAUACCCAGUGUAGAGGUGAAAUUCGUAGAUAUUGGGUGGAACACCGGUGGCGAAAGCGGCUCACUGGCCCGGUUCUGACGCUGAGGCGCGAAAGCGUGGGUAGCAAACGGG
rnacentral:rRNA from 1 species